AUAUAGCUGGUUCUCCUCGAAAUAGCUUUAGGGCUAGCCUCAAGGUAAAGAUACACGGGGGUAGAGCACUGACUGUUCGCGGGGCCUUCACCGGUUACCAACAACUAUCAAACUCCGAAUACCGUGGUAUCAUACUUGGGAGUCAGACUAUGAGAGAUAAGUUCCAUGGUCGAAAGGGAAACAGCCCAGAUCAACAGCUAAGGUCCCAAAGAGUAAGUUAAGUGGAAAAGGAUGUGGGAUUGCACAAACAGCUAGGAUGUUGGCUUAGAAGCAGCCAUACAUUUAAAGAGUGCGUAAUAGCUCACUAGUCGAGUGAUCCUGCGCCGAAGAUAAACGGGGCUCAAACUUACCACCGAAGCUUUGGAAUUAGUAUAACUAAUUGGUAGAGGAGCAUUCUAUACAGGUAGAAGGAGGCGCGUAAGCAAAUCUGGACGGUAUAGAAGAGAGAAUGUUGGCAUGAGUAGCGUAAGGCGGGUGAGAAUCCCGUCCGCCGAAAAUCUAAGGUUUCCUGAGGAAGGUUCGUCCUCUCAGGGUAAGUCGGGACCUAAGCCGAGAGCGAACGCUGUAGGCGAUGGACAACAGGUUGAUAUUCCUGUACCACCAAGGAUUGUUUGAAUGAAGUGGGGACACAGAAGGAUAGAUUGAGCACGCCGUUGGUUGAGCGUGUCCAAGCAGCAAGGCUUGAAAGUAGGCAAAUCCGCUUUCUACAAGGCUGAGCUGUGAUGGGGUGGUCGAAUGACCGGUAGCAAUCGAUUUCACGCUGUCAAGAAAAGCCGCUAAUGAGAUCCAAGGUGCCCGUACCGCAAACCGACACAGGUAGAUGAGGAGAGAAUCCUAAGGUGAGCGAGAGAACUAUUGUUAAGGAACUCGGCAAAAUAACCCCGUAACUUCGGGAGAAGGGGUGCCUGCUUCGGCAGGCCGCAGUGAAGAGGUCCAGGCAACUGUUUACCAAAAACACAGGUCUCUGCUAAAGCGAAAGCUGAUGUAUAGGGGCUGACGCCUGCCCGGUGCUGGAAGGUUAAGGGGAAGUGUUAGGGCAACCGAAGCACAGAACUUAAGCCCCAGUAAACGGCGGCCGUAACUAUAACGGUCCUAAGGUAGCGAAAUUCCUUGUCGGGUAAGUUCCGACCCGCACGAAAGG
rnacentral:rRNA from 1 species